AGAGUUUGAUCAUGGCUCAGAAUCAACGCUGGCGGCGUGCCUCAGACAUGCAAGUCGAACGCGAAAGCCUCCUUCGGGGGGCAAGUAGAGUGGCGCACGGGUGAGUAACACGUAGGUAAUCUACCUUUGGAUUGGGAAUAACAACCGGAAACGGUUGCUAAUACCGCAUAAUGCAGCGGCACCUAAUGGUGACAGUUGUUAAAGCGGGGGAUUUUAGGACCUCGCGCCUGAAGAGGAGCCUGCGGCAGAUUAGCUAGUUGGUAAGGUAACGGCUUACCAAGGCAACGAUCUGUAACCGGCCUGAGAGGGCGGUCGGUCACACUGACACUGACAUACGGGUCAGACUCCUACGGGAGGCAGCAGUCGGGAAUUUUGGGCAAUGGGCGAAAGCCUGACCCAGCAACGCCGCGUGAAGGAUGAAAUCCCUCGGGAUGUAAACUUCGCAAGAAUGGGAAGAAUUAGUAGGGGUUAAUACCCCCUAUGAUGACGGUACCAUUUGUAAGCUCCGGCUACUCCGUGCUAGCAGCCGCGGUAAUAC
rnacentral:rRNA from 1 species